AAUGAACGCUAGCGGGAGGCUUAAUACAUGCAAGUCGUACGGUAGGGAGGGGCAACUCUCCCGAGAGUGGCGUACGGGUGAGUAACACGUAUACAAUCUGCCCUUAACUGGGGGAUAGCCCUUCGAAAGGAGGAUUAAUACCCCAUAGUAUAAUAGAAUGGCAUCAUUUUAUUAUUAAAACUCCGGUGGUUAAGGAUGAGUAUGCGUCCCAUUAGCUAGUUGGUGAGGUAACGGCUCGCCAAGGCGACGAUGGGUAGCUGGUCUGAGAGGAUGAUCAGUCACACGGGCACUGAGACACGGGCCCGACUCCUACGGGAGGCAGCAGUAGGGAAUAUUGGUCAAUGGAUGCAAGUCUGAACCAGCCAUGCCGCGUGCAGGAAGAAGGCCUUCUGGGUUGUAACUGCUUUUGCCAGGGGAUAAAAUUUCCAUGCGUGG
rnacentral:rRNA from 1 species